rnacentral:lncRNA from 12 species
AAUCACACACACACACACACACACACACACACACACACAGCUCACCAAGAGAUUUGGGUUUCCCAUUUCCAACAAAAACCUGAGCUCUGCGAGACCGAGCCCAACUCUGAUCUGGGUCCAAACCCCAGCCUUCGGGAAAGGUUUUGGUGGAAGUCACAGGGGUGGAAGAUUGCAGGUUGGGGCCUCCCUGCUCGGUCCCUGAGGGGGCUCCUAGGACGAGCUGGGGACCGGGAGUGGGAGAAAGUCUUCAUGUUGCUAAAAAUAAAACAGCCGACCUUCCCCCUCCCCAGUGGUUGCAGUCUCCAGGCCUGGCUGCAUGGCGAGGCGUCUGAACACGCAGGGGAUGCCAAGCCUUCCAGAUGAAGAGUGGAUCACAGUGCCAACCAUGUGGACGUGGAUCUCCCCCAGAUGGGCUUCAGCACAUCUGGCCCAUCUGUAGCAUUUUCUCCAUCCAGGUGAUCCAUCUUGCCUCUGCCCAGCGUGGUGGAAAACUUGAUUCUCAUUGUCGACCUGCGACCAACAUGAAGCCAGAUCUGUGCAGCAUACUUCUCGGCCCCUGCCCUGAACCCCCCUCCAGGGCUCCCCGCAAAACAACGUGGGCUACAAGAAUAUUUCACACCAAACUCACUUCAUACUUCAUUUAUUUUAUUAAAAAAAGAAGAUGAAAC